CGAGCGUUCAUAAGGGAGCUGACUGUAAAUCUGCAGUCAUCGACUUCAAGGUUCGACUCGAGCACCAGCGAGAGAACGUUGCCGAAGGCAACGGCCCGAAGGGUGAGGAGCUUUAGCUCCGAAUAAUCCUUCCCUCCUGUU
rnacentral:sRNA from 2 species